CCGGGGUGUCACGGGGACUGGAGGACGACGCCCCCUCCAGCCCGGUUCCUGUGGUGAGACGGUCCAGGACCAUGGACGGACACCCCCCCCGCACCCAAACUUCAGUGACCAACCUGGUUGGAUCGCCUCCAGUCAGGUUGUCCUGUGGUUUGGGUGAUGCAGCGACCCCCUGCUGUUCUCCGGUUGCGAAGGAUGAAGACCCCUUCACCCCCUUCACCAGCUGUACCCAGAGCCCGUCGCUCUCCUCGCCCAGCUAAG